UCACCCUUGAAAUGGCUCUCUAUUAUUUUUAACAUAUUCAGCAGCUCAGGCAAGCUGAUGUUCAGUUUGUUUAUAUGAUAAUUAAUGAUAAACUGAGAAAAAGAGUCAGAGAGAGACUGUAGGAUCAAAUCCUGACUCAGUUCACUAUUCAUGGCAAAACCCAACUGUCUCAGAUGAAUGAUCAAAUCAAUCAUCUUUAGGAUAUGCAU
rnacentral:lncRNA from 1 species